GACGUAGGGCGCGAGCGUUGUCCGGAUUUAUUGGGCGUAAAGAGCUCGUAGGCGGCUUGUCGCGUCGUCCGUGAAAACUUGGGGCUCAACCCCAAGCUUGCGGUCGAUACGGGCAGGCUCGAGUUCGGUAGGGGAGACUGGAAUUCCUGGUGUAGCGGUGAAAUGCGUCAGAUAUCGGAGGAACGAACCAGUCGGCUGGACGGCGAGCGGUCCUG
rnacentral:rRNA from 1 species